rnacentral:rRNA from 1 species
UACGUAGGGUGCAAGCGUUAAUCGGAAUUGCUGGGCGUAAAGCGUGCGCAGGCGGUUAUGUAAGACAGAGGUGAAAUCCCCGGGCUCAACCUGGGAACUGCCUUUGUGACUGUAUAGCUGGAGUACGGCAGAGGGGGAUGGAAUUCCGCGUGUAGCAGUGAAAUGCGUAGAUAUGCGGAGGAACACCGAUGGCGAAGGCAAUACCCUGUGACUGUACUGACGCUCAUGCACGAAAGCGUGGGGAGCAAACAGG